CACGGUGAUGGUAAAGUCGUCCACAUAGACGUCAGUGAAGGGAUCGACCCUUCCAAAACUACGAUGAAAUUCAAUCGGACUUUUGCUGGAGCGCAUUUUGGUACUGCCCACAAACUUCUACACCGCCCAACCACAACGACCAUUGCGACCACCUCACGAUCCGAAACUGUAACAUCAUCAACUACUGCUUCAAAAAUCAGCUCAGUGCCAAACGACACCACUCCAAUAAUUAACACAACCGCCGCACCCGCCGGU